GAAACCGGGUGAUCUAGCCAUGGGCAGGUUGAAGGUUGAGUAACAUCAACUGGAGGACCGAACCGACUAAUGUUGAAAAAUUAGCGGAUGACUUGUGGCUAGGGGUGAAAGGCCAAUCAAACUCGGAGAUAGCUGGUUCUCCCCGAAAGCUAUUUAGGUAGCGCCUCGGACGAAUACUACUGGGGGUAGAGCACUGUUAAGGCUAGGGGGUCAUCCCGACUUACCAACCCUUUGCAAACUCCGAAUACCAGUAAGUACUAUCCGGGAGACACACGGCGGGUGCUAACGUCCGUCGUGGAGAGGGAAACAACCCAGACCGCCAGCUAAGGUCCCAAAGUAUUGCUAAGUGGGAAACGAUGUGGGAAGGCUCAGACAGCUAGGAUGUUGGCUUAGAAGCAGCCAUCAUUUAAAGAAAGCGUAAUAGCUCACUAGUCGAGUCGGCCUGCGCGGAAGAUGUAACGGGGCUAAGCAAUACACCGAAGCUGCGGCAAUAUCUUUUAGAUAUUGGGUAGGGGAGCGUUCUGUAAGCCGUUGAAGGUGGAUCGUAAGGUUUGCUGGAGGUAUCAGAAGUGCGAA
rnacentral:rRNA from 1 species